UCCCGAGUCACAGAAACACAGCAGACAGCUCUUGUCUGACUGAGCAAAUUAUAGAAAUAUGGCAGGGGAGGCAGAUGACGAGAUACCUGAAUCGGGGGCUGUCUUCACCUUUGGAAAAAGCAAGUUUGCAGACAACGUUCCAAGCAAAUUCUGGUUGAAAAACGACAGUGCGGUCCGCAUUUCCUGUGGGGAUGAGCAUACAGCGCUUGUAACAGACAAUGGCAAGCUGUACAUGUUUGGCAGCAAUAAUUGGGGUCAGCUGUGUCUGGGAACAAAGAACACAGUCAACAAGCCCACAUGUGUGAAAGCUUUAAAAUCUGAAAAGGUUAAGCUGACAGCAUGUGGAAGAAACCACACAAUUGUGUACACAGCUAAAGGCAAUGUAUACACUGCGGGAGGCAAUAAUGAAGGGCAGCUGGGCCUGGGCGACACAGAGGAGAGAACAUCUUUCCAUCAGGUAGACUUCUUCACAGGACAGUGUAAGAUCAAACAACUGGCAGCAGGGUCGAACAUCUCUGCAGCACUGGCAGAGGAUGGAAGACUUUUUAUGUGGGGCGAUAACUCUGAAGGUCAGAUCGGUCUUGGCAAUGAGAGCCAUGUGUGUGUUCCUCAUGAAGUAGAUGUUGGGAAGCCAGUUACCUGGGUCUCCUGUGGAUACUAUCACUCCGCUCUCGUAACCGCUGAUGGAGAGCUGUACACAUUUGGAGAGUCAGACCAUGGAAAGCUAGGACUGCCCCCAGAACAGUUAAAUAACAACAGAGUUCCACAGCUGGUCCAGGGAAUUUCUGCACAAGUUACUCGGGUUGCCUGCGGUGGUGGGCACACAGUAGCACUUACAGAUGAUGAUGUCUACACAUUUGGCCUUGGUCAGUUUGGACAGUUGGGCCAUGGCACUUUUACUUUUGAGGCUGCCCUACCGAAGGCUGUGGAACAGUUCAGAAAAAGGAAAGUGAGCCACAUAGCGUGUGGAGAGAACCAUACAGCUGUAAUAACAGACAAUGGCCUUCUGUAUACUUUCGGAGAUGGACGACAUGGCAAGCUGGGACUUGGGGAUGAGAACUUUACCAACCAGUUCAAGCCGACGCUGUGUUCCAGGUUUCUCAAGUACACAGUGCAGUCUGUUGCCUGUGGGGGAUGUCACAUGCUGGUCCUUGCUGCCCCAAGACCUCAAGGCUAUGAGGAAGUGACUCUCCAGCAGGAUGAUAUAACUCAGAACUAUCUGGAGAAAUCCUACAAUGAGGUUUUAGGCAGUCCUUCAACACCCAGCACAUUGAGCAGGACAUUAUCUGCACGAGUGAGGCGGAGAGAAAGGGAGCGCUCUCCAGAUCAGUUUGGGAGGAUGCUGCGCACACUGCCUGCUCUGGCACCUGGUUUCCUGAACUCCUCUUUGCCCGUCACCAGCCGCUCAAUUCCAGCCAGACUACCCAGCAUGGACAUACCUGCUUCCAUGGAAGCUAAUGGAAUUCACCGUCCGCAGGAGUCUAGAGACAAAAGCGGCAAGGGAAAUGGAUCCAAUGAAAGAACAUCUGUGGACGAGGAUUCUGACGGCGACAAUGAAAAAGAACUCGGAAACACCACUGAUUUAUUAAAUAUGACCCACGUAAUGCAGCUGAACCCCAGUGACAAGUCAUUAACAUUAUCGCCGGUUCAGAAGCAGAAGAAUUUACAGCAUGAAUCUGAGGAGAGCGAGGAAGAAGAGAAUGAUGAUGAUGAUGAUGAAGAGGAUGAGGAUGAGGAAGAAGAAGAAGAAGAGGAUGAAGAAGAAACAACUGUUCAGGAAAUGACAAAAGGAGAGCCACAGGCAAAGAAUAGUGAUGUGAUCUCUGGAGAGAAACAUGGAAAGGAACCUGAAAUCAUUAAAGAUGAAUCAGUACCAGAUGGUGUACAGGAAGAGCAAGAGAGUCCCAAAGCUCAGGACCCCUGUCCAGCUCAAGAAGUGAGAGAAGAGGAGGCAAAGGAGGAAAGUAAAUCGAAAGGCUUGUUUGGAACAAAUGGAAGAAUUUCUCUGUUCAAGAGAAGGUCGAUCCCAGAAGACAAGAAGCCAGAAAAAAAGGGUGAAGUGAAACCAGUAAGCACUCUUCAGGAAGACAAGCCCAAAGACAAUCCAAACGUCUCACCUGGAAACCUGGAAAACAAAGACCUCAACCAGAACAACGCUGGGGAAAAGACUACAGAGCCCACACAGUCAGUCCAGGACAGUACUGAGAAAACACAAAGCACCCUGCAAAAGAAGUCACGAUCAGCAACAUGUACAGUACUCUGAGUUUGUGUGUAUGUGUAUUUAUAUAAUAUAUAUUAUAUCAAAAGCCACUAAGUGCUGCAUGUAGUGUUCAAGCACUGAUUUCAAAUAGAGGGAAGUUACUACAAUUGUGAGUUAUGAUACGUGCUGGAUUACCACCACAACUUGUGGUGCUAAUUUAUUAAUGUCAGAUGUUGUUGCCUUUACAUCACAAUCAUUACUGUUUUGAUUUUUAGUGUAUGGGCAACAUUUUUGUGAAAAACUUUGUGUGUUUGGAUUUGUGAAACUCAACUGCACAUAUUUUAUGUAACAGACAUUUAUUUAUAUAAAUAUAUUUCAUGUAAAAGCACAAGUUGCACUUUAAAUUGGAACAGUACAUAAUAUAUACAUAUAUAGUUCUAUAUAGAUAUGAUAUUAUGUUUCAGGGACAAUUUUUCACCAGUUCUUAUUGCAAAGCCUUACACUGCUUUGUGUUGAAAAGUAUUGGUGCUGUGACAUCAGCUAUACUAUAUGGAGAGUAAAAGGCAGCUCUUUCUCAGAAUAUGUAUUUUUUUCAUUCACUACUAACAAUUGGUGUCACAAAUUAAUCCAUCUGGCAGUAUCAAUGCUGAAAUUCUUUUUGAUUUAAAGAUAAUAUAUUAAUGUUGGGGUAUUGCUUUUUUUCCCCCCUGUCAUGUAUCAGGAUUAUUAAGUUUUGACCUUUUUGUUUCACCUGAUAUAUAAGGUUAGGUACAGAUGUUUAUCAGAAUACUUGUACGCUCUAAUUUUCAGAAAUGGUAGAGGGGGGGGGCUUUGGAAACAUUUGACACGAUUUCUUUUGAUACUGAUUGGUUGGGUAUCUGUCAAUAUCUGGUGCGCUUUUAGGCUUGCUACUUGGGUAACAGCCGAAAUUGAAGCAACAGUUAUGUAAUCAUGCCUUAUGGAGAUAUAUAAAAAAAACACUCUCUUGCUUUUCUCUUAGCAUUGUCAUAUUUUCCUUAUAAUAGGUUUAACAUGUUUUAUUUACAUUUUUUAGUUGUACCUGUAAAACAUGUGUUUUCUUAAAUUACUUGUUUUCAGAGAUGUAUCUUAUGGAUGCGUAUUAUGGAAACCUGAGUCACAUCAAACUAGGAUUUUUUUUUUUUUUUUUGUAUUCUUCAUGCUACUGAUUAAUGCAUUACAGAGGGUCUUGACUGCAGCAAGUGCAUGCAUCGUCCAGCAGAGGGCACUGUAGAUCAUAGCAAGGAUCUCUUAUUGUAGGGCAGGGGUGUCAAACUCCAGUCCUCGAGGGCCGCAGGGUCUUCUGGUUUUCAUUCCAACUUAAUCUGUCAAUUAGCUUAAUUGUUCUAACUAUUUGUCCAAAAGGACAGAUUUAAUGUUUUUUCAAGGUCUUUUACAGUUGAUAGUUUAAUAGAUGCACUUGGUUCAAGGCACACUACCCAUGAAACAUGUGUCCAAUUAAUCACAUAAUUAGACCACUUAAGUAAUUGAGAGCUUGGGUGGAACUAAAGCCAGCAGACGCAGUGGCCCUACAGGAACUGAGUUUGACACUCCUGCUGUCUGGGGUCCCCCGUGCCAGGACUGGGAAAUCCUAUCUACUCUACCUAGAGUUGAAACUUACUAGUGCUGAUGGCCUGUUUGCUUUUCCCAAAAAAAUCAUAACAGUAUCAAGUUCAUGAAUUAAAUCCAAAUGGAAUUUUAUUCCCGGUGUUUUCUUGUUAUUAUAUUGUCUUUGUAUCACAAUUAUUUUUAAGAGUGUGUUGUUUCCUCUCCUUUUAUGAUUUAAUAUAGUGUACAAAUGCUGUAUUGUUGUGUACUACAAACCAUAAUUGCACCCCAUCCAAAAAAUAAAUAAUUCAAUUUGUUAAAAAAAAAGAAAGAAAAAAAAGCAGAAUUAGAGGUAACCAGGUCUAGUGUUCAGGGGGCCAAUAGUCCAGGUUAUUUGUUCCUGUAAAGCCUUAAUAUUCUUUAUUCUUUACAGAUCUAAUAAAGGCAGCACUUACAGCAUCUAAGGCUUUAGAUACUGAGUGGUAUUUAUUUGGGUGUUGUGUUGGAACAUUUUAAGAGAUAUAUUUACUUCUAAGGGUCAAGUUGGAACAAAAUCCUGGACUGGUUAAAACACCUGAAGAUAUGAGCAGUGCUGCUCUUGUUGUAUUACUACUGCUCUGUGCUGCUCUAGAGACAUAUACACAUAUAAAGAGCAUCUUUUGAAUGUUAAACCCUAUAUAUAUAUA